CUGAGGUUUGUUCAUGCUCUCCUACAAACCCUGCCCCAUGCAAUAAUAGCUUCACUACUUUCCAUUGAAAAUUACAUGGAGGGUUACAGGCAAUGAGAUGAUGACAUAUUAUGGAACUUUCUCCAUAAGGAGUUCUGAUAGUCAGUGUUACAUAAUGUGUGUAUGUGUGCAUGCACUCAGUGUGUAUUAUAAAUUAUAUGUUCGGGAGGUGGAGAGAGAGAGAAUUAUUGUACUUGUUUUAUGAUCUCUGCUGCACUGUCUGCAGUAUUAUAUUUGCUAAUAAAGUCUAGACCUUAACCUUCUGAUUCAGAAACAGGUUUUUAAAAAAAUGAUCUGAAAUUCUGGAUGGACCACAUAGAUUGUUUCCACUUCCUAUGUACAGUGUCCAACCUGAAGUGGGCCUUCAACUUUGCCAGGCAACUUUGUAACUUUGUUCCCUAGUUAGCUCUCUUUUCCACCACAGCCACUUCAGAUUUUCUUCAUUGCUUUCCAACCAUCUCCCUCAUUUAUUCUCAGCAAAAAAUAGAACCCAUCAGAAAGGAACUUCAACAAAUUCCUUCCUCCAAAUUUAUUAGCCUACCUGCAUCCACACGCAUCCUUUCAAACAUCAUGAUGGAUCGGGUGUCCCCCUGCAAUCUAGGGCACAUAUUUCUACCUGUUCUCUGUAUUCUAUCUCUUUGUGCCUAUUUUCUGGGUUCUGUCUCCUCCUGCCUUUCUAGGAACUUCAUUCAGUGGAUUAUUUAUUCAGUAAGCUUCUAGUUCUGUCCCUACCUCCCCACUGAAAUUCUAAUGAAGUCACUAACAACCUCUUUGUUCAAUCCAGUGGACCCUUUUCCGUAUUUUGCUUGACCUCUCCGCAGCAUUUGAUACUAGUGACCAUGGCCUGCAGCAUUUACAUCCCUUAAUUUGUGAAACCACACUUUCCUAGUUUUCCUCCUAGAUCUCUGGCUUCUUUAUUUUACCUUCCAGGACCUCCAUCUUUUGCCUGUCACUUAAAUGUCCAUUUACCUCAGAGUUGUGUCCUAGUCAGUUUAUUCUUAUCUCACUUUUUAUACUCUCCUUUGGUGAUCCUCAUUCACUUCCAUGGCUUUAGUUACCAUAUAUAUGCUACUGUCUCCUAAAUAGAAAUGUCUAGUCUAGUUCUCUCUCCUCACUACAAAUCUGCAUAACUGAUGCCUUCAAAAUAUGUGUCUUGAUGUUCCAAGGUACCUCAAACCAAUAUAUCACAAGUUAAACUCUUCAUUUUUGUUAUACUUGCUUUAAAGUUCCC
rnacentral:lncRNA from 1 species